UACAGAGGGUGCAAGCGUUGUUCGGAAUUAUUGGGCGUAAAGCGCGUGUAGGCGGCUUUGCAAGUCGGGUGUGAAAGCCCUCAGCUCAACUGAGGAAGUGCGCCCGAAACUGCAGAGCUUGAGUACCGGAGAGGGUGGCGGAAUUCCCCAAGUAGAGGUGAAAUUCGUAGAUAUCGGGAGGAACACCAGUGGCGAAGGCGGCGACCUGGACGGACACUGACGCUGAGACGCGAAAGCGUGGGGAGCAAACAGG
rnacentral:rRNA from 1 species